CGAGUCUUAACUGGGCGUUAAGUUGCAGGGUAUAGACCCGAAACCCGGUGAUCUAGCCAUGGGCAGGUUGAAGGUUGGGUAACACUAACUGGAGGACCGAACCGACUAAUGUUGAAAAAUUAGCGGAUGACCUGUGGCUGGGGGUGAAAGGCCAAUCAAACCGGGAGAUAGCUGGUUCUCCCCGAAAGCUAUUUAGGUAGCGCCUCGUGAAUUCAUCUCCGGGGGUAGAGCACUGUUUCGGCUAGGGGGCCAUCCCGGCUUACCAACCCGAUGCAAACUGCGAAUACCGGAGAAUGUUAUCACGGGAGACACACGGCGGGUGCUAACGUCCGUCGUGAAGAGGGAAACAACCCAGACCGCCAGCUAAGGUCCCAAAGUCAUGGUUAAGUGGGAAACGAUGUGGGAAGGCCCAGACAGCCAGGAUGUUGGCUUAGAAGCAGCCAUCAUUUAAAGAAAGCGUAAUAGCUCACUGGUCGAGUCGGCC
rnacentral:rRNA from 1 species